rnacentral:tRNA from 2 species
UGGGGUGUAGCUCAGUGGUAGAGCGACGGGCUUUGACCCCGUGCCAGCGCGGGUUCGAGCCCCGCCACCCCAU